AAAACUAACUCACUUUUGCAGGAAUCGCGAUUGCAUUUACCGUAUGCAAUAAGGCUUUAAACCCCUAGGUGGCCCUAGUGGACGAGUUUUGUCUCGUGAGGGUUUCCGGCUCAGAUACCCACAAACUGCGGUCUCUACCCAGUUUAUUUUAUUGUUUUAUAAAAUCUAAUUUCAAAUGCAUAAGUACCAAGAAUUUCAAAAGCACACAAAGUUUUAUUACUAAGUCAGUCCAAAUCCUAGGUCAAGAUGCAACUUAAGUUGAAGUCAUUAAGUUUCCGUUAGAGAGUUGUAAGGCUAAUUUAUACUUGGGUGCUCGGUGAUGUCUGGACCAUACACAAGCUAAGGCUUUAGAUUCUCCAAAAUACUGCUAAAACUAGUAGUUUCCAAGAAUUGGUCAGAUAAGACCUAAUCACUGAUUCAAAAUCAUCCUACCUUGCAGGAUUUCGAGAGUUGUGGAUGUUUACUUUAAUACCUCAUGGGCUUUAUCUGUAAUAUUCUAGUUUACUCGAAUUUUUACAACGACGG
rnacentral:lncRNA from 1 species